CUUGUAAGGAAAUAAGUUACUGGGUGAGGGAGCCUGGCCGUUGGCAGGGUUUCAGCCUAAAAAGUGAGGUGAGGGAGCCGUGGGUGGGGACGUGAGCACCCACAGUUCUCAUGGCCUCGCCCGAGUCCUACAGGAAAGGGACAGGACUGUGAGGGAGGGCCCGGGGCCCCUCCGAUGGUCACCAGUCCCAUUUGCGUUGGGGAUGCAGGAUUCUAACUAGAAGUGUCGGGUCCACUGGGUGCGAUGAACAAAUAACCCCAGACAUUUAAAAACAAAACAACUGUGGGUCUGACACAGGCCACAGUGUCAUCGAAACGAUCCACCUCCCAAGGCUUGGUGACAGUCACAGGGCAGGGCCCCUGCGGCGCUCCCCCAGGCCCCGUGGACCAGGGGACGCGGUGGCCACGGCCUGCUCGCCUGCCACGCUUGGUCACGGAGCUGAGGCCAGUGCCUGGCUAGUGGGUCGGAGGGAGGGGUGCUGCUGUGCUGACUCUGCCACGUCCUUAACGGGGAGCCGAGGCCCCUGCUGUGCUCACCUACGGGCGGUGCAUCCCCACAGGUGGGUGCGCAUCCGCACAGAUGGGUGUGCAUUCACACAGAUGGGUGCACAUCCGCACAGGUGGGUGCGCAUUCACACAGGUGGGUGCCCAUCGGCACAGGUGGGUGCGCAUUCACACAGGUGGGUGCGCAUUCACACAGGUGGGUGCCCAUCCGCACAGGUGGGUGCGCAUUCACACAGGUGGGUGCCCAUCGGCACAGGUGGGUGUGCACCCAACACGUGACGCCUUGCAGGCCUCGGGCUUUGCCAGCCCCGGCACCAGCCGUGCCUCCGACCACUGCCCAUCAGAGUGUGACUGACCAGAAACAGUUGAGCCCAGUGAGUUCCUAAGGGGCUGGGUUAGCCGCGGGGGUCCCACGGUUUGUGUGUGACCAGGUGCUAAAUGACUGACUGUGUCACCUGCCUUUCGAUGCCAGACCGUGUCCUCUGGUGAUGCCGCUCCUGAGUUUGUGUUUAAACUACAUUUUGGUACUUUCAUGUACAUUUGUGGCAUGUGGAGUCUCAAAUAAAGUGGACGAUUUAGAGAACCA